rnacentral:rRNA from 1 species
UACGUAGGGUGCGAGCGUUAAUCGGAAUUACUGGGCGUAAAGCGUGCGCAGGCGGUUCGUGAUGUCUGGUGUGAAAGCCCCGGGCUUAACCUGGGAAUUGCAUUGGAAACUAGCGGGCUGGAGUGUGGCAGAGGGGGGUGGAAUUCCACGUGUAGCAGUGAAAUGCGUAGAGAUGUGGAGGAACACCGAUGGCGAAGGCAGCCCCCUGGGCUAACACUGACGCUCAGGCACGAAAGCGUGGGGAGCAAACAGG